rnacentral:rRNA from 1 species
AACUUCAGGCCUGGCCGGGCGGUCUGCCUCACGGUACGUACUGUCUGGCCGGGUCUUACCUCUUGGUGAGCCCGCAUGCCCUUCACUGGGUGUGCGGGGGAACCAGGACUUUUACCUUGAGAAAAUUAGAGUGUUCAAAGCAGGCCUACGCCCGAAUACAUUAGCAUGGAAUAAUAGAAUAGGACGUUGGUUCUAUUUUGUUGGUUUCUAGGACCGCCGUAAUGAUUAAUAGGGAUAGUCGGGGGCAUCAGUAUUGAAUUGUCAGAGGUGAAAUUCUUGGAUUUAUUCAAGACUAACUACUGCGAAAGCAUUUGCCAAGGAUGUUUUCAUUAAUCAGUGAACGAAAGUUAGGGGAUCGAAGACGAUCAGAUACCGUCGUAGUCUUAACCAUAAACUAUGCCAACUAGCGAUCGGAUGGUGUUUCAUUUUUGACCCAUUCGGCAGCUUGUGAGAAAUCAAAGUUUUUGGGUUCCGGGGGGAGUAUGGUCGCAAGGCUGAAACUUAAAGG